CCUACGGGAGUCUGCAGUGGGGAAUAUUGCACAAUGGGGGAACCCUGAUGCAGCGACGCCGCGUGAGUGAAGAAGUAUUUCGGUACGUAAAGCUCUAUCAGCAGGGAAGAAAAAAAGUCCUUUGGACUUUGGACGGUACCUGACUAAGAAGCCCCGGCUAACUACGUGCCAGCAGCCGCGGUAAUACGUAGGGGGCAAGCGUUAUCCGGAUUUACUGGGUGUAAAGGGAGCGUAGACGGCAGCGCAAGUCUGGAGUGAAAUGCCGGGGCCCAACCCCGGAACUGCUUUGGAAACUGUGCAGCUGGAGUGCAGGAGAGGUAAGCGGAAUUCCUAGUGUAGCGGUGAAAUGCGUAGAUAUUAGGAGGAACACCAGUGGCGAAGGCGGCUUACUGGACUGUAACUGACGUUGAGGCUCGAAAGCGUGGGGAGCAAACAGGAUUAGAUACCCCAGUAGUC
rnacentral:rRNA from 1 species